rnacentral:rRNA from 1 species
UUUUUUUCCCCCAGUCCCUUCCAAUUUAACCGUGAGGUGAGGGCACCCCAAUCGCCAUGGAGAUCAGUCCUGGAUGAGGAGUAUGUGCAAGACUGAAUUUAAGAAAUGACGGAAGGCACCACCAGGGUGGAGCUGCGGCUUAUUUGACUCAACACGGGAAACUUACCAGUCCAGACAUAGUAAGGAUGACAGAUUGAUAGCACAAUCUUGAUUCUAUGGGUGGUGGUGCAUGGCCGUAUCUUAGUUGGUGGAGUGAUUUGUCUGGUUAAUUCCGAUAACGAACGAGACCUUAACCUGCUAACUAGAUACUACUGACUUACAGAAGUUACCUACUUAGAGGGACUAUGUAAAUCAAUUACAUGGAAGUUUGAGGCAAUAACAGGUCAGUGAUGCCCUUAUAUGUCGCGGGGCGGCGCGCGUGCUACACUGAUGCAUACAACAAGUGCCUAACCAGACAUGGUAUGGCAAUCUCGAAUAUGCAUCAGUGUGGGGAUAGAUCUUUGCAAUUAUAGAUCUUGAACGAGGAAUUCCUAGUAAGUGCAAGUCAUCAUCUUGCAUUGACUAUGUCCCUGCCCUUUGUACACACCGCCCGUCGCACCUACCGAUGAAAAUGAUCCGGUGAACCUUUGGACCUUACGGGGAAGAGGGGGGAACCGAUAGUAACGUUAGCCGGGCCAUGGCUCGAAUGCCGGCGCGUGCUA